UGGAUUCCCAUGUAUGCAGACAUAUAGGAUUGCUGCUGGAGAAUUGAAAGGAGCUUGAUAACAGCUAAAAGCCCUCUUUUUGGACACUAAUACUGAUACUAGUAAUUAGAUGGUCCUAAUUAGGGGGAAUCCGAUUACAUUUUGUCCUACUGUGGAAGUAGGAUUGCUGCUGGAGAAUUGUAAGGAGCUUGGUAACAGCUAAAAGCCCUCUUUUUGGAUACUAAUACUGAUACUAGCAAUCAGUAUAAUAAUUGGUUUGAUCAAAAGAUGACUUUCUAUAACCUCUUAAGAAGGAAACCUCUCCUGAAAUUUUGAGAGCAUUUUCAAUAAGAGAAAAAAAAUGUUGUUUAGAAUAUCUCCCUCAUCCUGUGUAUUGGACUGAGCUAUGAACAUAAUGGAUGCUCUAAGGAGGAUUUUGCUAUGGAGGUCUCCGUGGGUAAUGACAGCGGAGUGGUUGCAGAGAACAGAAAAUCUACCUGCGUCCCGGACCAGUGGAACGCAAACAGGAAGCCGCAAUAUGUCUGUGGAACGCAGACACGUCACCUCCAGUGAUGCGGUUCCGGUCCUGACGUGGACGAGCCACUGGUCGCCGCAGGUGGCUGUAAUGCUCUCAUUUGGUAGGAGAUUUAAGGGGAUUUAAGCAUUUGGACCUUUUGCCGCUUGAAGUCGGACUGCUGUGUGACCUGGGUAUCCCUGUCUGCUAUAGUGUUUUGGUCCUUAAAUACCCGGGUUUUGGACCAUUCACUUGACCUUUUCAAUCUGGACGCAGGGGGUCUCCCGUUUCGUCUGAUUGCAGGACACCAAGCUGGAUACACACUUGUGUGGUGAUAUAAACCUUUUAUGUUUUGUUAUAUGUGAGUGCAUUUGUUUAUUAAAUUUGUCCUUUGUCAAGUCAGUAUUGCACCAUACACUUCUUUUAAGUUUUCAGUGCCUGAUGAAUAUCUCUCCUGGCGAAUAAAUCAUAUUU